CUCCCUCUGCCUACGUCAGUGACUGUGACCUGCAGCCGGCCCACUUGGUAUAAGUACCGGCAGUCAUCCAGCUGCUGGUGGCAGGGUGACCUCCCGGGCUGGCUGAAGCCACACUCCGUGCAGCGUCCCACCCCAGCCAUCACUCAGCGUCCUGCACCAUGCCCCGGGCGCCCCUCCUGCUGCUGUGCGUGGCCCUGGUGCUCGCAGGGCACAUGCGAGGAGCCGCACUGAGAAAGGAAGACACGUGGAAGCCACUCAGCAACCUGAGGAACCGCGAUCUGUUUUUCAGAAGCCUUCAGGCAUAUUUGGAGAGCAGAGGUCUUGAUCUUGGGAAAUUUCCGAAUGCUUUCUCCAUUAAUGAGAACCCAAGGCCGCUCUCUUUCCAGCCAGAGUUUCUUGCUUCUGCACUUGCAGACUACAAAGAACAGAAAAGCUCCUCCCCGGCAACUGCGAGGGCUGGCGGUCUCUUCUGAGCUCAGGUAAAAGUGGUGCCUUUGUUCCCAGCACCUCCCAAACACACAGCUCAGCCGUAAGUUAGAAAUUUGGAAGGUAUUUGUUUGAAAAAUGAUUUCCUUUCCUCCUAGAGAUAAGUGCUCCAGUCUGACUGUACUCAUUACUGUUAAAUAAUUGGGUUAGGUUCAGGUAGUUUAGAGUCUGGUUUUAAAAAUAAAUGAUAGUUGUGAUUUUUUAAACCAUAGCUUUCUAGGGAGAAAUAUAUUAAAAUAAUAGAAUUGUCGAUCUUAGUAGUAUUAUUAAGUUAGUGAAAUGCACAUGCUCUUAUCUAUACAUAUUUUUUUCAGGCCAGGUCAUACAGCUAAGUUAUAUGGAAAAAUCGUAUCUAAGAAAUAUGUCAACCUGACCUGUUGGAUUAAAUGGGAAAUGAAAGUUUAAAGAAUGGUUCUUUUGGAGAGAAAGCAAUAUAUAUAUAUAUAUAUAUAUAUACUUUUGAGCCCAAAUGUUCUGACUUAAAGAAAAAUGAGGUAAAUUAUUAGUAAGGAUGAGUUUUUCUAAUAGAAAAAAAUUUUAGUGUAUUCAUGGGCUGGGGAUGUAGCUCAGUGGUAGAGUGUUUACCUAGUAUGUUUAAAGUCCUGGGUUUGAUUCUCUGCACUGCAAAAAAAAAAAACAAAACAAACAAACAAAAAAAACUAGUUGUGUGCUUUAGUUCUGAAUUUUAUUAUUCUUAUUACUAUAGCUCUAUUAUCAAAUAAUUAUGAGCUAUUUGAAAAGCAGCAGGUGUGGUACAUUCUAAGCAAAUACAUAUGAUUCUAGCGCAUUAGCUGUUUGUUCGGCUGAAUAAUAAAGGGGAUUGAGUCAUAAUUAAAGUCUUCCCCUACUCUUCUAAAAGCGUACAGGUGAAAAUUGUGAGGAAGCAUACCACUGUACUUCACUGUUUGCGAAAAGUUUUCAUUUGUAGUUCUCUUUGUUUUGUUUUGUUUUUGUGGUGCUGGGGAUCAACCUCAGGGCUCUGCAUGCAAAGUGAGAACUCUACCACUGAGCCAGACCCCAGCCCACAUUAUUAGUUCUCUUAAAUGUGAUGAGUUUUAAAAAUGAUUUUUAUCCUAAAAAUGAGAUGCAAUUUGCCAUGUGGAAAACGAACUUGAGUAUUGUCCAAAAAUGAUAAGACAGCCGGGCAUCUUGGCAUAUGUGUAAUCCCAGCUAUUUGGGAGCUUGAAGCAGGAAGAUUAUAAAUUCAAGGUCAGCCUAGGCAACUUAGCAAGACCCUAUCUUAAAAAUUAAAAAUAAAAAGGGCUGAGGGUGUAGCCCAGUCGUAGAGAAGGCUUGGGUUCAACCUGCAAAUGGAUAAAUAGAUUUUAAAAAUCUGUUUACAAAAAUAGGUAAAAAAUAAUGUUGAGGCCGGGGAUAUAGCUCAGAGGUAUGGUGCCUGCCUGGCAAGCUCGAGGUCCUGAGUUUGAUUCCUGGUACCAGAAAAAGAAAAUAAUAUUAACAAAGUUUUCCCUAGACUGUUUUGCACACGUUAAAUCCUAGGGGAUCAGACACCUAAACAGUGAAUCGUUAUUAGUAUCACAGCUCCUAAUUUAGUGUGAGGCAGAUAAGUUGCUUGUAAACAUUGAUUUCUUUGUCUAUAAAUUAUAGACACUAACCUCUACCUCUGAGAAACUAUUACAGCAAAUACCAAAUAACUAAUCCACGUGCAUGUGGAGGAGGGUUAUGGGUAAAGGCAGAAAACAGGAGGAACCAGCUGGUGGCGUCGUGAUAUAGGAAUUAAUAUUCAACCUUAUAGGAGUCUGGACGUCUGAUUUGGAGUAUAUUUCAUCAUUAGAAGCUGCACAUUCCCAAGGUCUCCCAUUAGAAAGUGAAAACAAAGUUUUCAUCAAAUGUGUUAAUUUGGGAGCUUUGCAUUGACCACUUGCUCUUCAUUUUCUAUUCAUUAUAACCUUUGCUGUUCUUUCAGGUCUGGCUGUUGUAAAACUGCAGAAGUUUCUCAUUAGAAAAAUCCAACCAUGACUGUGGCUAAACCUCUGUGUUUUCCCUCUCCACAUUUGUCCGUGUGUAAUGAUUUUAUUCUGCAUUUUCAGAUUUACAUAUAAAAUGCUGGACCUUUGGAACAUAUGUGAUUUAUGUGUGUUUGUUUGAAGUGCUUUUCUUUUUUUUUUUUUUUUGGUUUUUCUCUGGUACUGGGAACCGAACUCAUGACCUUGCGCUUGCCAGGCAGGCGCUUUGCCGCUGAGCUAAAUCCCCAGCCCCUUGAAGUGCUUUUCUUUCUAUAACCAUAAAUAUUGGUGCUGGGCAUUUCCUGAAUUAAAAGAAAGCACCAUAAGGUGAAAAGAGAUGAUAAUCUUCCAAAUUAGAUUUUUUGUUUGCCUUUUAAACUCAUUUUUAAUAUUUAUUAAUCCAUAUUUUUAUUUGAAAGGGAUUUUACUUAUUUUUAUUGUAGCUCAUUAUAUGUAUUAGGUUUUAAUUUUUUUGCCCUAAAAAUGCAUCCCCACUUUCAGUGUACACUACUGAAGGACCUCACAGUCACGCCUAAUGAGGGUAAGUGGUAAAUAUCGACAACAAAGUUGAAGUGGAGAGCAAAGAGACACGAAUUCUAGGAGCUGCCCAUCUCUGGGAGAUGUGCUCACGCUUGCAUGUGCGGGGGCAGGCAUCACAUGACACCAGGCAUCCUCAUUAUACCCGGGCCUCGGCGCCCCCAACAGAGAGUCCUCAAGAAGACAGCGGGGAGACAGGUGGGGUUCCCUUCUUUCCAGCCAACCCUCUGUCCUUACAGGGUCCACCACUCUCAUUCCCAUAUUCUUUGAAACAGCUGCUUUUCCUGGAUCAUUGUGGAUAGCUGCAUACUUUUCUGCUUGAUUCCUGCAAAAGGAACAUUGUACUAGAAGGAAAAGACCAGCAUCUAUCCCCAUAAGGAUCAUCUGUACAUUCCAAAAUUGUUUACUGUGAAGUGUUUGUGGGUUAUUGAUACUGAAUAUCAAGAAUAAAAUAUCUGUAAGAACAAAUCCCAUG
rnacentral:lncRNA from 1 species